CAUGGCAUCUUGACUUUGACAUCUUUAUGCCUUUUGAUUCUUGUCUUUUGAUUUCUCUACUCACAAAGAAUCUUUGCUAAUGACUUUUAGGAGCUGUUCUUAGGUAUGUACAGUGCUGUACAGGAGUCUAUUUCAGUUUGGAAUGUGGCAAAUGAAGCCUUUCUGCUCUCCGGAUGGGGAUUAAUGCCUGGAGUAUACGUUAAACUCAGAAACACUUUAUGACAUAGGUACACAUGUUUGAGUGACUGAUUUUGAGAGAAAUUUAAUCCUUCAACUUGGAUUUUCCUUUGUUCUUACCACUGAUCUGUAUCUC